rnacentral:rRNA from 1 species
GUAGGGAAUAUUGGGCAAUGGGCGAAAGCCUGACCCAGCAACGCCGCGUGAGUGAAGAAGGCCUUCGGGUCGUAAAGCUCUGUCGGAUGGGAAGAAUAAAUCCCGGUUUAAACCCGGGACUUGACCGCCAUCGAAGGAAGCACCGGCUAACUCCGUGCCAGCAGCCGCGGUAAUACGGAGGGUGCAAGCGUUGUCCGGAAUCAUUGGGCGUAAAGGGCGUGUAGGCGGCCUUGUAAGUCUGAUGUGAAAUCCCUCGGCUCAACCGGGGAAGUGCAUUGGAUACUGCGAGGCUUGAGUGCGGGAGAGGAAGGUAGAAUUCCCAGUGUAGCGGUGAAAUGCGUAGAUAUUGGGAGGAAUACCGGUUGCGAAGGCGGCCUUCUGGACCGCCACUGACGCUGAGACGCGAAAGCGUGGGGAGCAAACAGGAUUAGAUACCCUGGUAGUCC